UUCAUUUCUCUUUACUAUGAAUAAUGUAUGCUGUUAACAUAGUUUUAAUUAUAGUACAUGAUAAAAAUAUAAAUAAAUUAUUAACAUUCACUGAAGAAGAGGUUAUAAUGCUAAUCUGAAGAAUUGUUGGGAUAUUCCCAUUUGAAAUCGAGAUAUCAAUUAAAUAAAAAGGAAGUUGUUCAUUCAGGGUUUUUCGAUUUGCGGUAAUUAUCACCUGAAAAUGCAUGUUCACUUUAUCUUAUCUUAUCUUGCAGAAAGUUGUAUAACAUGGAGUUGCCAUGAGUACCGGGUACCCUUUUCUCAAAUUAUCCUUAUCGCUGUACAUCAAGCUGGGUCAUAAAAGAGACAAUGGGAUUCCAAGUUCAAGUCAAAAUACAACCAGGAAGGUAUGAAAAUGAGAUAUGGUUUUGACUGGUGCUAUUCAUCUACUGCUAUUAUCAUAACCCAAUGAAAAGACUAACAAAAUAAAGAGAAACUGCUUUAAUAAUUAUCAAUGAUUCUCAGCUUGUACUAGAGACUUGAUACAGGAAAUAAAGGAACCUUUUGAAGACAAAUGCAGAGGAUUAAAGUUUUUUAAUUGUGCUAAAUAGUUAUCUGGCUGAACUAUCAAUCAAAAGUAAGAUGACAAUUCCUAAAUGAAUUCAUUCUUUAAUCUUUUUUAGAAAAUUUAUCAAGUGAUAUAUUUCACUUAUUAAUAAUAGUUAUCAAAUUAAAAGAUAGUAUCAUUAAAGAUAAUUUUAUGAUAAAAAGAAAAGAUAUUUAAUAUUUCAAAUUCGGUCUGGUAGUAUUGAGUUUAGCAGGAGGUCAAAGAGGUCUUUACUUCAGUUAAGAAGUUAAGGCUUACUAAUAAAUCACUUUUCCUUCAUUAUAAUAAUGCUAAUUACAAGAAUAUAUUAAAUUUCA